GAUGAAGAACGCAGCGAAAUGCGAUACGUAAUGUGAAUUGCAGAAUUCAGUGAAUCAUCGAAUCUUUGAACGUAUAUUGCGCUCUCUGGUAUUCCGGAGAGCAUGCUUGUUUGAGUAUCAGUAAACACCUCAACUUCCAUAUCUUUUUUGAAAUGGGAGUUGGACUUGAGUGAUCCCAACGCUUUUCCUCACCGAAAAGUGGCGGGUUACUUGAAAUGCAGGUGCAGCUGGACUUUUCUCUGAGCUAUAAGCAUAUCUAUUUAGUCUGCCUAAAAAACAGAUUAUUACCUUUGCUGCAGCUAACAUAAAGGAGAUUAGUUCUUGUGCUGACUGAUGCAGGAUUCACAAAGACAGGCUUCGGCCGACUUUGUAAACUCGAUCUCAAAUCAAGUAAGACUACCCGCUGAACUUAAGCAUAUCAAUAAGCGGAGGA
rnacentral:misc_RNA from 1 species